CACCUCUCAACCACACACUGGUUUGGAUCGUGGCCGCUGGCUGUGUCACAGCCCGGCCGAAAUGGAUGCGGAGCGCUUACGCGCCUCUGACGUGCCACAGCGUUGUAGACCCCUCGCUGACCGUCAAGAGCACGGGCUCCCCAGUUUAUCA
rnacentral:misc_RNA from 1 species